AUACUAUGGCGCACUAAGUCAUAACACAACACUCUUUAAAAAAGGUUAACUGAGUUGAAUAUAAGGUUGUUUGACAGAAACACACAAAAUGACUCACAGGAUAUGAGACGUUUUUACAUUGAAGUUUGCAGCUGAGUGACGGCGGACGCAUGACAACUCCACGUAAAUAAUCAUUAUACUGUCUACAACUGUAGUGGAAGAAUUCAUAUUUUCAAUUUGCAUGGAGCCCUCUUCAUUCAAUGGAAGUAUGCCCUAUUUUCCUACAGAAGCUACAGCAACUCUUAAGAAUUGGUUUCUGCUCCAUAUCAACUGCGCACAAAAUCAUACAAGUUGCUGAGCAUUUAAAAGCAUUCUAACUGAACUGAGAUUGCAAGGUGUGUGUUGAGUUGGAAAAAACAAUCUGCCUGUAGAAAUAGGCCUAACGCCAUCCCACCCCAUUUCUGUCAACUUCUGAGUGGCCAUCUGGAAAGUGCUGCAGAUAGUUUAAUGGAUCAUAUUCAAGCUUCAGGAGGAAACAGAGGAGAUCGAUCAGAACACUCUCCAGUCUGCAUUGCCAGAUGGGAGGCAGAUGAUCGUCAGUGACGAAGCCCAGCUCAGAGUCUUUCUGGGGCAGACUGAACAGCAGCAGGUGGCUCCUCAACACCUAAUCCGGACAGGACAGAUGUUAGGAAAGACAAUCAGGGGAGAGGGGGGGAGUGGCAGGAGGAUAAGAAGGCCCAGGGGAAGGUGAGAGGAGUGAAGAGCUGGAAGGCCCAGGGGAAGGUGAGAGGAGUGAAGAGCUGGAAGGCCCAGGGGAAAGUGAGAGGAGUGAAGAGCUGGAAGGCCCAGGGGAAGUGUUACAUCCAGGGAGCACAGCAGGCCCACAUGCUCCACAAACACAGCCAACUUCAUGGUGGCAUUGAAGCAUCUCUGCUGAAGUCGUCAAACAGGGGGUCCCCGACUGACACCGACUCAAACUGUCCAACCAGGGCAGAAUAGAGGUCAUUGAAGGAGGCCAGGCCUGGAGGAGGGGAGUUGAGGUCCAGAGCCCAGGUCAGCCUCUAGACAG
rnacentral:lncRNA from 13 species